AGGAUCAUUCGCAAUGGGGGAAACCCUGACGAUGCGACGCUGCGUGGAGGAUGAAGGCCUUCGGGUUGUAAACUCCUGUCAUGAGGGAAAAGGCGAGGGGACCCAACACGUCUCCUAGUUGAUGGUACCUCAAGAGGAAGGGACGGCUAACUCUGUGCCAGCAGCCGCGGUAAUACAGAGGUCCCUAGCGUUGUUCGGAUUUACUGGGCGUAAAGGGCGCGUAGGCUGCAUGGCGUGUCAAGUGUGAAAUCUCCGGGCUCAACCCGGAAAGUGCGCUUGAAACUACCAUGCUGGAGGCCGGGAGAGGGAAUCGGAACAUAGGGUGUAGCGGUGAAAUGCGUUGAUAUCCUAUAGAACACCGGAGGCGAAGGCGGAUUCCUGGAACGGCACUGACGCUGAGGCGCGAAAGUCGGGGGAGCAAACA
rnacentral:rRNA from 1 species